rnacentral:lncRNA from 1 species
UGUGAGUUUAUCUGUGAAAUUAUGCAGGAAUGGUGUUCAUGCUGGCUUGGCUUUUGAAGUUUGAUGUUGCGUUUUACGUUUGCUAUAGCUUGGUGUGCGUUUCAAGUGUUGUGAGUUUUGUUUCUCUAUUGCCGUUUGGAAGCAGCCGCAACUGAUGUAGCUUUUGUGCUCUUUGACGGCUUGGAGGAUGGCUUGCAUCAGCGUGUUUUGAAGCUUUGGAUUUGGAUGU